GUCCUUACGUCAGCUAGAGACACCCGGACUGUUUUGAGUGUAACACAGGAAGUCCGUCUGAGAGACAGGAGUUUUGUUUUCACUGAAAAAUCUACCUUUUUCGCGGAUAAACAUCAAAAGGGGCAGCAGCUUCAGCAGGGAAGCCCAUGACACUCCUCCACCAGUUCCUCUGAGAGUACCCUGAGACACUCCCUCCCCAGUGUGGUCUUCUCUGGGACCUGGAUCACCUCCCAAGGGAAGUGGCCAGGAGGCUUCCUCACCAGAUACCCGAACCACUUCAACUGACUCCUCUUGACAUGAAGGAGCAGCGACCUUAUGCUUAAGAACCGCGUGCAGCAGAGGUGACACACGUCUGUCAGCCCCUGAGACCCUCACUCCAAGGUGCUGAAGGACAAAGACCCACAGAGGAAAUGAAAUCCUUAUCAACGCGGACAAAGCUGCAAACAUCACACCAACCCAACGCUGCUUUUUAUCCUCAGUGACAAAAUAAAGCUGAUAUCUCUGCAAAACCAGCGCCGCAUAGACUCUGUGUGAACAGGCCGAGGGGGAUAUUUCAGCCCUGGUGAGUUUGUUCAUCUAUCUGCUGCUUGUCGCCUCUUCAAAAAUGAUCAAAAUGUUAUCCUCUGUGUGACGGGGGGGAAAGCAUCACUCAUUAUCCUCCUCGGCAGCGGGGAUGAAAAACUAAUGCUGUGACAGACAGUGUGUGUGAUAUUUCAGUGAAUGUUUCUGAUGGCAAAAAUUGACAGGUGAAGAUAAACACCGGCGAGCUUAUCUGAAGAGCUGAGGUCUGACACAUUUACCAGAACGAUGGAAUAUGUUUUAAAGCUCAUAUGGAAGUCAAAGAUGUCACAUUAGAGGUUGAGAUCCUCUAGGUUUCAAUAUCACUUGGCAAUAUCCUGCUACUGAGAAACACUAUUGAGAAAAGAUGCUAUUAUUCUGCUUAAAAAUGCAAAACACACACUUUUUGGCCGGUUUAUCUGCUUUAGGGCUCUUUGUAGAAACAUGGCAGUGCAGUGCUUCCAUUUAUUUUCUAGUUAACACAGAGCUUAAACGUUACACAGGAGGAAGAAGAAGAUAAUUAAAAAAGCACUCUGGAAAAACACGACCACCAACGCGGCGAGGCAUUAGCGAUUACAAGCUUGUUAGCGCAACCUCUC